GAUGAACGCUGGCGGCGUGCCUAAUACAUGCAAGUCGAGCGAACAGACGAGGAGCUUGCUCCUCUGACGUUAGCGGCGGACGGGUGAGUAACACGUGGAUAACCUACCUAUAAGACUGGGAUAACUUCGGGAAACCGGAGCUAAUACCGGAUAAUAUAUUGAACCGCAUGGUUCAAUAGUGAAAGAAGGUUUUGCUGUCACUUAUAGAUGGAUCCGCGCCGCAUUAGCUAGUUGGUAGGGUAACGGCUUACCAAGGCGACGAUGCGUAGCCGACCUGAGAGGGUGAUCGGCCACACUGGAACUGAGACACGGUCCAGACUCCUACGGGAGGCAGCAGUAGGGAAUCUUCCGCAAUGGGCGAAAGCCUGACGGAGCAACGCCGCGUGAGUGAUGAAGGUCUUCGGAUCGUAAAACUCUGUUAUUAGGGAAGAACAAAUGUGUAAGUAACUAUGCACGUCUUGACGGAACCUAAUCAGAAAGCCACGGCUAACUACGU
rnacentral:rRNA from 1 species